rnacentral:piRNA from 1 species
UGGAUGCCUGAUUGAGUCAAGUAGUA